UACGUAGGGCGCAAGCGUUAUCCGGAAUUAUUGGGCGUAAAGAGCUCGUAGGCGGUUUGUCGCGUCUGCCGUGAAAGUCCGGGGCUCAACUCCGGAUCUGCGGCGGGUACGGGCAGACUAGAGUGAUGUAGGGGAGACUGGAAUUCCUGGUGUAGCGGUGAAAUGCGCAGAUAUCAGGAGGAACACCGGUGGCGAAGGCGGGUCUCUGGACCAUUACUGACGCUCAACUGCGAAAGCCAGGGGAGAGAACGGG
rnacentral:rRNA from 1 species